GCUCAAAGGUUCCCUCAGAAUGGUUGGAAAUCAUUCAUAGAGUGUAAAGGCAUAAGGGAGCUUGACUGCGAGACCUACAAGUCGAGCAGGGUCGAAAGACGGACUUAGUGAUCCGGUGGUUCCGCAUGGAAGGGCCAUCGCUCAACGGAUAAAAGCUACCCCGGGGAUAACAGGCUUAUCUCCCCCAAGAGUUCACAUCGACGGGGAGGUUUGGCACCUCGAUGUCGGCUCAUCGCAUCCUGGGGCUGUAGUCGGUCCCAAGGGUUGGGCUGUUCGCCCAUUAAAGCGGUACGCGAGCUGGGUUCAGAACGUCGUGAGACAGUUCGGUCCCUAUCCGUCGUGGGCGUAGGAAAUUUGAGAGGAGCUGUCCUUAGUACGAGAGGACCGGGAUGGACAUACCUCUGGUGUACCAGUUGUCGUGCCAACGGCAUAGCUGGGUAGCUAUGUGUGGACGGGAUAAGUGCUGAAAGCAUCUAAGCAUGAAGCCCCCCUCAAGAUGAGAUUUCCCAACUUCGGUUAUAAGAUCCCUCAAAGAUGAUGAGGUUAAUAGGUUCGAGGUGGAAGCAUGGUGACAUGUGGAGCUGACGAAUACUAAUCGAUCGAAGACUUAAUCAA
rnacentral:rRNA from 1 species